UGUUCAUAAAAGAAAGAAAGAAAGUUCAUACAUAUUUGUUCAUAAAAACAGAAAGAAAGAAAAUAACAGACAAAAAGUAUAGUUCAAACGCCACCAACUACAUCACUAUAGAGAACCUCCCACAAACUCAAAAUAUGCCCAUAACACACUUAUUGUGUCUUCUUCUUCUUCUUUUCAUCCGGAUUCACAAACGGACUUUGAUUGACUACACUUUUAACUCGUUUCCUUGGUUUAUCUUUCAUUCUCGUAAUUAUGUUUGACGUUGUCAUGUUUUAAAGCAUCAAAACUGUAGAAAAAUAAAUACCAAAAUAUUAACAUUUAAAUAAAAUAGCUCAUUUAUGAUACUAAAUUUGUCUAAAUUGAAAUAAUAGACAUAAAUAUACUAGAAUAUCCAGCAUUUAAGCAUAUAAAGAAAAAUCAUUAUGUCUAAAAUAUAAAGCAAUAAAACAAUCAAUCUGGUCAAAAAUAGAAACCCUAAAAACAAAAAAUAGAAACCCUAAAAACCAAAAAUUCUACAUCAGCUUAAAUUAAAGCGAAGAAGCUAAAAAUAGAAAUCCUAAAAACCAAAAACCCUAAACGAAGAAGCAAAAAUAGAAACCUUAAAUUAAUAACUAAAAACCCUACACUGAAGGAAAAAAACAAUCAUACAAAAGUAAAAUAUAGCCAUUGAAUCUCGUGCAAGCACAUGUUAUUACUUUAGUUAAGAAUUUAAAAGUGUGUUUGAGAGUUAAAUUUUAGAAGGUAUAAGUAAAAGAAAAAAAAAUAAACUUUAGAAGAUUAAAUCAUCAUUUUGAUUAUAUUUAAAAAAAAACAUGUUAAAUAAUAUGUAGAAUAUUGAUAUAAAUAUUAAACACGACAUUGACACAUUAAAAAAAAUUAAUUAAAUAUAAUCAUAUACUUCGACAUGAGAAUUAAAAAACAUUACAUAAUCACUAAAUAAUAUACUUCGACAUGAGAAUUAAAAAACAUUACAUAAUCACUAAAUAAUAUGGAGACAUGUUUGAUAGACACAGAAGAAGGAAUGGGUGAUUUUAAAUUUUAAAAGUCAACUUAAAUAAAGAUAGCAGCAUAAUAAAUGAUAAGCAAAUGGAGAGCAAUCAAAAAGACCAAUUCAACUAUUUUCUAUUCUCCCCUCGUCACUUCCAAUACCAUUUCAUACCUGUCACAGUUUUAGUCUUUACUUAAUAGCAGCGAGCCUAUAAAAAGAGUCAUGCUUGUAACCUCUCAUGAAUUAUUGAG
rnacentral:lncRNA from 1 species